AUGAACGCUGGCGGCGUGCCUAAUACAUGCAAGUCGCGCGAACGGACGAGAAGCUUGCUUCUCUGAUGGUAGCGGCGGACGGGUGAGUAACACGUGGAUAACCUACCUAUAAGACUGGGAUAACUUCGGGAAACCGGAGCUAAUACCGGAUGAUAUUUUGAACCGCAUGGUUCAAAAGUGAAAGACGGUCUUGCUGUCACUUAUAGAUGGAUCCGCGCUGCAUUAGCUAGUUGGUAAGGUAACGGCUUACCAAGGCAACGAUGCAUAGCCGACCUGAGAGGGUGAUCGGCCACACUGGAACUGAGACACGGUCCAGACUCCUACGGGAGGCAGCAGUAGGGAAUCUUCCGCAAUGGGCGAAAGCCUGACGGAGCAACGCCGCGUGAGUGAUGAAGGUCUUCGGAUCGUAAAACUCUGUUAUUAGGGAAGAACAUAUGUGUAAGUAACUGUGCACAUCUUGACGGUACCUAAUCAGAAAGCCACGGCUAACUACGUG
rnacentral:rRNA from 1 species